AGAAAAUGAAGAUUUUCUGGAUAGAAGUCAGUGUUUGGUGCUGCAGCACAGCAUGCUGAAGAAUCAGAGAGGGCAGUACAAUAUGGGGAAGAAAACUGGCAACAUGUGACCUCCAGAAGAAGAAAGAGGAGAACCCAUGAAGCCCCAAUGCAGAUAACGGGAUGUGAAAUCCUUUUUUCAGAAGUGUGAUCCAAGCAGAGGACAAGAAGGCAGAAACUCUUGAGCACUAACUUUGAUUCUGACAACAAAUCAGUGUGUGGCUUUGAUCUAGCUAAGAGUUUACAUAUGGCUGCUAAUCACCAUAGUAUCCUUGGUGGACUUCUCUGAUACUUCUGGGGUGGAGAAGAUUAUUGAACAUCACCACCAAUAUGGCUGCAUCUUCCUUCUGUUGCUCCCAUGUGUGCUCCUCCCCUUGUCUCUGGACACUGGUUUGCAAGAUGUCAUCUGGCUAUCAUCAUGGUAACACAGCAGUGCUGCUGGCUACUUUCUUCUGAACGUUGCCUGGUGGAAA